rnacentral:lncRNA from 1 species
AUGGGAUCAUCUUGUCCCCCUCUGCCAUUUCCUAGGUAGAAACUGAGGCUUGGAGAGAGGAAGGGACCCCAACAAGUCAACAGUGGCUGGACCACAUGCGUCAGGGCCUCCUGGCAGGGCUGGGGCGCAUCCUCGGGAUGAUGCAACAGGCCCCACCAAGCAGCUUGACACACGGUCCGUCCGUCUGUGGCCAAGUGGAGUCACCAGACUUCCACUCCUGGACUCUGUUAUAGAAAUAUUACUGUCUCACAGUUUUCACAGGCUGUGGGUGUUUAUAACUCGUCUGAUCUUCACAACAACUCUGGUGAGCAGGCCUGAGUACGGAUUAUCAUCGGCAUUUUACAGAUGGGAAAACUCAGGCUCAGAAAGGACGGUGGAGAAAUAGAGCUGCUCCAGCCAGGCUGGGAUUAGAAGUCAGGACGCUUGACUCCAGCCCGGGUCCUCGGGACCUUUGCUGGUCCAUACAGAGCAGUUAUGUUACUCAGGAAAAUGUGCCGCCCCCUUGGGUUCACGGCUUGGUGACAGACAAGAGGACUUCAGCUACUACACAGUGCCUGAUGGGGAAUAAGCCGAAGAUACUGUGCAGGACUUGACUUCCUCUGCCAGACCCAGCAGGCUGGCCAGUACUUGCUCAGCCGAGCUCUCUUCUGACGGCUGCACAUCGCUGUUGCCCUGCUGGACACAUAUUUGUGGUGGUCGUAUUUUUCCUCCUUAAUUUAUAGUCCAAGUUUUGAAGAUGAAGAAUGUCUUCCAGCCUCUGCACCCCCUCCUCAUCCAUGCUGGGAAAAUGGGAGAAGACAGUGGACUCUGGACUCUCUCCCUGCCCCUCAGAAAAAAUCUGACAUUCCUCUCACAUUAUUGGGUAAGUUGUUAUCUACAGCCAGUCCGUGUUCACGUCCUAAGUAGGGUGGAGGGGAGAAGAUUGCUUUCUUUAAUCCAAAAGGCCCACGAUGGCAUUUUUCUCACCCAAAGAGCUGCCCACCGUCUUGGCUACGCUGUCCUUUCCAUCUGUUCUCUCUUUAGCUACAUCAAGAAAUUUCAGAGGCUUUGCAGUGAGGGGAGUCCCUUAGCACUGCAGCAGGCUCACAUGGUGCCCUCCCCAACAGUCCCGAUGGUGCAAGGCCCACAGCCAGUGGCAUCCCCGUUGGUCAUGGGUCUGUGGCUUCUUCUUUCUAUACCAGCACAAUGUGAACGAUUCCACAGGGUGUACCUGCUGCUGCUGACAGAGUCAGGGCUGGAAUUUGGCUGGCAUACGUCGGAGCCACCGUGCUGGUUCUUUAUAGGCGCCGCCUCUUCCUAGGAAUCCAUAGACCAUGAUCAGAGCCACAGGGAGACUUCACACAGCCUGCUAGCUUCCUAAAUCCAUUCUCCCAGCUCCUCUGUUCUUCCACUACUUAAUCCCUCCUUCCCACGUCUGUCCUUGAUCUUGGCAUGAAGCCCCCAGCUGCCAGGUUCCGGGGAUGCCCUAUGGAACAACCAGAGCAGUCCAGCAUGGACCCCUGCACAGCCCAGGGGGGGCACCACCUCAUGGGAGCCAAGCUGGGCCCAGGGAGACGAGACUUCUUCCUCUUCCUCGAGAUGCCCUCAGACAAGAAACUCACUACCACCCAAGGCCCCUUCUGAUCAUUAAUGCAGUGGAUUAUGAAUUACAGUGUCACCAAAAGAGAUGAACAAAAAUUCAACUUAAAGUUGAUUUUGAGCUGCUAUUCUUGCCAGGUAAUAGAAAACACAGUUAGUCAUUUCCGGACAAGCUGAGUCCCUGUAGGAUAUGUGCCAUCUCUCUGGGGUGAACAGUCAGAAGAGGACCCUGCCUGCCUCCUCUCUCACCAGGCGACGUCUGAGUUCCGGGGUCUCAGGGCGUUGAUGGGGAGGAGACGUCUGCUUCCUGUCCCCAUCGGUCCUCUGAUGACACACCCUGGAUGUAAGGUUCUCCUCCAGGAUUUGGUCUUUGCAUGUUGGGGUCUCAAGGAAACAGCGGCUGUGCAGGCCUCUCCAAGGUGUGAGAGGCUACCCCCCAGCUCCCCGGCGCCACCUGCCAUUCUUUUGGCUGCUACAAGAAAAGGAAUAAGGGAUGGAUGGUUUGACUUGCAGCACAUGCUGCCUAUUAUUUUUGGUUGUUCUACAUUUUAACCCCGAUGGUAUUCCAGGCAACUGAAAGGAAGUUGCUGGAGAAGAAGACUUUACCUCAAUAUAUAGAAGCUGCCCUUGACAUGUUGCAGGAAUAUGGGUUUUGGAGAAGACAGACGUGGGUUCGUAAAUAAGAGUGUGAACUUCCUGACACACAGGAAUUAAAACGUGAUCAGAAAACAUUCUUCACUAGGAUGAGGAAUUGAGAAGUCAGGGAGGAGAGCUACAUUUCAUUGAGGGCCCCUAUUUUUCUCUUUAGAAAUGUUCAUUGCUUUUUUAAUUGUGAAAGUCACACAAAUUCGUUAUGGGAAAUUUUUGAAAUGUAAAAAUGGUGUAAACAAAAACAUUAAAAGUCACCCAUAAUCUCACCAGAAACGACCGUUGUAAAUAUUUUGACAUGUUUUCUUCUGGCCUUUUGUCUCUGUGUGUGGGUGUGUGUAGAUUUACAUAAUUCUGCUAAUUCUUUUACACACACUUUGCAUCCUCUUUUUGUUGUGUUUUUUUUGUUUGUUUUCUUACAUCUACUGUUAUACCAUGAGUUUUUU